GAUGAACGCUGGCGGCGUGCUUAACACAUGCAAGUCGAACGGAAAGACCCAUGCUUUCCGGGUUACUCGAUUGGCGAACAGGUGAGUAACACGUGUGUGAUCUGCCCUGCACUUCGGGAUAAGCCUCCGAAACUGCGUCUAAUACCGGGUAGGACCACAUAUUUCAUGGUGUGUUUGGAAGUAUUUCGGUGUGGGAUGAGCUCGCGGGGUGUAAGCUUGUUGGUGGGGUAAUGGCGUACCAAGGCGGCGAGGGGUAGCCGGCAUGCGAGGGCGGACGGCCGCAUCGGGACUGUGAGAGAGGCCACAGUCGGGCAGGAGGCAGAAGUGGGGAAUAUCGCACGAAGCGAGGCAGCGUGAUGCAGGGAGGCCGCGUGGUCGUUGAGGUCUUUUGUGAGGUAAACACCUUUCGCGCGGGAAGAGGCGUUAUUGUGACGGUACCUGGAGAAGAAGCAACGGCUAACUACGUG
rnacentral:rRNA from 1 species